CUUCUAGCGUCCGGCGGCCGGCCGGCUCAGCAGCUCGCUCGCCAUUCCAGCGCAGCGCCGCGCCGGACCACCACCACCCAACCCACAUGUGCGGGGUCAACUGGUUUCCCAAAGGAACGCUGCUGAGGAGCUGGCUGACCAAGUCCAGGCCCCGCCUCCUGCUGCUCAUCGCCGGCCUCAAGCGACCUCAGGUGACCCUGAUGAGGAGGAAGAGGAUGAAGAGAACCAAAGUAGCCAAGGCCACGUAAGCGAACGUGCAGCAGAAUGCCGCACUUCACCUGAGGCCGGGCGACAUGACGGCGAAAGCGAGAAGAAGACGGCGAGAAAUCGAACCCGCUCGAAGACGACCGCGUCCCCCGACAAGUUCCUUCGUGUCGCCCCACUGCACGUGUUAGCGCAUGUUGUUGUCGUUGACGUGAGGAAAAAGUCCAGUUGUUGAUGCCAAAAGGAAGACUCGUCUCAAAGCCGCCAGCAGCGACGACGUGUUACCAUGCGAGCUAUGCCAAGUUAGCUCCUAACCCCCACCUCUUUUUGUUUUGUUUUUUUGCUAAAACGCUGCUGUCCCCUUCUGGCUUGGAGUGCAUAGUGUGUAAAUAAUAAU